CUGGGUGGAUUAGUGGCGAACGGGUGAGUAACACGUGAGUAACCUGCCCUUGACUCUGGGAUAAGCCUGGGAAACUGGGUCUAAUACCGGAUAGGAACUUCCACCGCAUGGUGGUUGUUGGAAAGAUUUAUCGGUCAUGGAUGGACUCGCGGCCUAUCAGCUUGUUGGUGAGGUAAUGGCUCACCAAGGCGACGACGGGUAGCCGGCCUGAGAGGGUGACCGGCCACACUGGGACUGAGACACGGCCCAGACUCCUACGGGAGGCAGCAGUGGGGAAUAUUGCACAAUGGGCGAAAGCCUGAUGCAGCGACGCCGCGUGAGGGAUGACGGCCUUCGGGUUGUAAACCUCUUUCAGUAGGGAAGAAGCGAAAGUGACGGUACCUGCAGAAGAAGCACCGGCUAACUACGUGCCAGCAGCCGCGGUAAUACGUAGGGUGCGAGCGUUAUCCGGAAUUAUUGGGCGUAAAGAGCUCGUAGGCGGUUUGUCGCGUCUGUCGUGAAAGUCCGGGGCUUAACCCCGGAUCUGCGGUGGGUACGGGCAGACUAGAGUGCAGUAGGGGAGACUGGAAUUCCUGGUGUAGCGGUGGAAUGCGCAGAUAUCAGGAGGAACACCGAUGGCGAAGGCAGGUCUCUGGGCUGUAACUGACGCUGAGGAGCGAAAGCAUGGGGAGCGAACAGGAUUAGA
rnacentral:rRNA from 1 species